rnacentral:lncRNA from 1 species
CGAUUCUGAAAGUGCUUGUUACAUUAAUAAUGCAAGGAUAAAGGCUCGCCUUGUUUCUUGGAAAUGGUUCGAUUGGUUCAUGAACACGAUUUUUUUAUGAAAUAACAUUUCCAGUAAAAGAGGGACGAAAGAUACCAAAGGGACAGUCAAACUCAUAAAUCUAAAACAAACUGACAACGCCAUGGCUAAAAAUGAAAAAGACAAACAAAAAACAGCACACAUGACACAACAUAGAAAACUAAAGAAUAAACAACACGAACCCCCC